UGUUAUGGACUGAAUGCUCGUCUGCCCCCAAAGUUUCUAUGCUGAGAUCCUAACCCCUUUGUGAUGGUAACAGGAAGUGGGAACUUUGGGAAGUAACUAAUUAGGCCAUGAUGGUAGGGCCCUCAUGAGUGGGAUUAGUGGCUGUCUUAGUCCAUUUUGUGCUGCUAUAAUAGAAUACCCGAGACUGGGUAAUUUAUAUAGAACAGAUGUUUGUUCUCUCACAGCUGUUGCAUUAGGGAUAGAUGGAAAGACUUAUUUAUGUAUUGACUGACUGAUUGAUGGGGCCUUGUUCUGUUGCCUAGGCUGGAGUAUAGUGGCAUGAUCAUAGAUCACUGCAGCCUCAAACUCCUGGGCUCAAGCGAUCCUCCCACCUCAGCCUCCAUAUAGCUGGUGGGGACCAAGUUUCUAACACAUGAAUGUUGGGAGACACAUUCAGACCAUCGCAGUGGCCUUAUAAAAAGAGACACAAGAGCUUGCUCUCUGCCAUGUGAGAAUACCACAAGAAGACUGUCCUCAGCAAAUCAGAAAGCGGGUGGACCCUCAUCAGACACCAGAUGUGCCUGCACCUUGAUCUUGGACUUGCCAGCCUUCAGAACAGUAAGAAAGAAAUGUGUGUUGUUUAAGCCACCCAGUCUAUGGUAACUUGCUAUAGCAGCCCACUAGGAGACCCCAAGAUAUUUAAAAACUCAUCAGCACCUGCUUUCUGCAUCUGGACCCUGAUCUUCUGGUGGGUUUACCAGUUACUUGUAGAGUGUCCCUGUGAUAGUUUUAGGUGUCAACUUGACAGGAUUGAGGGAUGCCUAGAUGGCUGGGGAAGCACUGUUUCUGAGAAGGACCAUGUUUUUGGAGGAGACUGUUUUAUGAGUGAAUUUCAGGGGACACAUUCAGAUCAUGGCAGUGGCAUUAUAAAGAGAGACACAAAAGCUUGCUCUCUCUCUCUGCCAUGUAAGACUACCACACAAAGACUGCCAUCUGCAAACCAGAAGCAGGUGGGCUUUCCUCAGACACCAGAUCUGCCUGCACCUUGAUCUUGGACUUGCCAGCCUUCAGAACUCUAAGAAAGAAAUGGUAGCAUGGCUUGGCCUUCCAACUUGGAUCAGGCCAUGCCACCGGCUUCUCUGAUUCUCCAGCUUGCAGAUGGUAUAUUGUGACCCUGGCAUUUAAUAACUAUGACUUUGGUCUUAAGCAAUUUUCUUCCUCUGUGGAUUGAUAUUUACAUAUCAAUGUGGAUAAUAAUUUCUUACCACGGUAACUGUUGUGAGGUAAAAAUGAGUUAACAUAAGUAAAACCGAGCACAUGCAAACCAUCCGAAAUGGUUAAUACUUACUAUUUGUACUUGAAGAAAUAAAUGUUUUUGACAAUAAA
rnacentral:lncRNA from 1 species